GUCCCGCAUGUACGAUCGGAAGGUCAAAUAUUUUGAAAAGUGCGUUGUUUACUGCUGAACCUAAACAUGUGCUUUUUAUGUGCUUUACUGAUAAUAAUGACAGUGGUGUCAGGUUCGAGCGGCCAAGAUUCAGUUUCCCAGGAUCCACUUGAAAAAACGGUUCAGGAAGGAGAGACUGUAAUCCUCAACUGUAAUUACACAGCACAGUACACUGCUCCAGUGCUCUUUUGGUACAUCCAAUAUCCCGGAGAAGCUCCGGGAUAUUUGCUGAAAAGAUUCAACAAGGAAGAAGGACAGACGUCUCCAGCUUUCUCUGACAGGUUCUCUUCUACUCUGGACAAAAAACGGAAAAUAUUUCCUUUAAAUAUCACUGUUGCUCAUGUAUCUGACUCUGCCGUCUACCACUGUGCGCUGAGUCUCACGCUGAUAAAGAGUUGCAGUCAGUCCAUACAGAAACUAGCCAGACACACUCAUGACCCUCCUUUCCCUACCUGUAUCCUAAGCCACAUUUCUGAUAUGUCGCUGAAUUGUCAACUGAUAAGAUAUUGGAAACGAAACGACAAUCAUCUGUUGUCCCAAGAUAACUCUUUCUGCAAUUCACAUUGUGCGUUUUUCUACAUGAAACCUUCUUAUAUCGCUGUGCCCGCGGAUGGUACAUAG